rnacentral:rRNA from 1 species
AGCGAACGCUGGCGGCAGGCCUAACACAUGCAAGUCGAACGAAGUCUUCGGACUUAGUGGCGGACGUGUGAGUAACACGUGGGAACGUGCCUUUAGGUUCGGAAUAACUCAGGGAAACUUGUGCUAAUACCGAAUGUGCCCUUCGGGGGAAAGAUUUAUCGCCUUUAGAGCGGCCCGCGUCUGAUUAGCUAGUUGGUGAGGUAAAGGCUCACCAAGGCUACGAUCAGUAGCUGGUCUGAGAGGAUGACCAGCCACAUUGGGACUGAGACACGGCCCAAACUCCUACGGGAGGCAGCAGUGGGGAAUCUUGCGCAAUGGGCGAAAGCCUGACGUAGCCAUGCCGCGUGGAUGAUGAAGGUCUUAGGAUUGUAAAAUCCUUUCACCGGUGAAGAUAAUGACUGUAGCCGGAGAAGAAGCCCCGGCUAACUUCGUGCCAGCAGCCGCCGUAACAC